AUGCGAGAUGAACACAUCGACAUCGUUGCUGUCCAGGAGACCAUGCGUCGCGAAUUCUCGCUCCCCGAGCUCGAUCGUUUGAGCUCCCACCUCUUUGCGUGGCACUGGCUCCCUUCUAGUGGGAGCUCUGGCCACUCGGGUGGCAUCCUUUUAGGCGUGAAGGAUGCCACAUUCGAGGUGGGCAGUAUGGACUGGGGGGAAUUCUUCGUCAGCAUGGAACUCUUCGAGAGAUCUCUCAACUUCAAAUGGGAGAUCGUCAUUGUCUACGGGCCUGCCGACCAUAGUAGGUCGGCAGCCUUCCUCGAGGAGCUGCAUCAUAAGAUCUCGGCAGCCUCCCUCCCCGUGGUGGUGGGUGGCGACUUUAACCUGCUGCGCGUGGCGGAAGACAAGAGCAACGACAAUGUUUGCUUUGCCAGAAUGCAGAUGUUUAAUGACUUCAUCGCCGACCUCGCCCUUCGGAAGAUUGAUAGGAUUGGUGCGCGGUUCACUUGGACCAAUCGGCAAUCCUCCCCGACCCAGUCCGUGUUGGACAGGGUCCUUGUCUCCCCGGAGUGGGACCUUCGCUGCCCCCUCUCCUCUCUCCGCGCCAUCAAUAGGAUUGGCUCGGACCAUGUCCCCCUUCUUCUCUCCUCUGCGGACGAACGUCCGCCGAUCCCUCCUCGUUUCCGCUUUGAGACCUUCUGGAUCUCCCAGGCAGGAUUCACGGACGCAGUUUGCGCCCGGUGGAUUGAGGCCAGAGCCCACCCCCAUCCCAGGCCUCCCUCGGCGAUUGACACGUGGCACCUUUGUGCGAAACGUGGUAGAAAGUUUAUGAAGGGAUGGGGGUCCAACCUUGGGCGCGGUGCCAGAGAGCGCAAGAAAGCGCUGCUUUCCGUGAUUCAGGCUCUUGACCUCCGGGCUGACUUGGUGGGUCUGUCUCCGGAUGAGUGGCUCGCCCGAUAUGACCUCGAAGACCAACUCUCCGUGAUCUACUCCGAUGAGGAGGCCUAUUGGCGCAUUCGGGGCACCCAGAAGUGGGUCCUGAAGGGUGAUGCGAAUACCGCUUACUUUCAGGCGAUCGCCAACGGCCGCCGUAGACGCAACACCACCCCCCUCCUUUGGGAUGGGGACACCCUUCUUCAGGACCCUCGCGACAUCCGGUCUCAUGUCGACGGCUUCUAUAGGUCCCUUUUCUCUGCCGCUCCUCGGAGCGGCGUUUCCCUCGCCCACGAUUGUUGGGCCGGUAUUCAGUUAGUCUCCAAGGCGGAGAAUGCAGCCCUGACGGCUCCCUUCUCUGAGCAGGAGGUCUGGGAGGCUAUCAAGGGUAUGAAUUCCUCCUCGGCACCUGGCCCUGAUGGCCUCCCUGUUGUUUUCUUCCAGACCUUCUGGAACGUGAUUAAACCAGAGGUCAUGGCCAUCUUUGAAGAAUUCUUUGUGGGUACUAUCGACCUAGGACGCCUCAACUAUGGGAUCAUCUCCCUCAUCCCCAAGGUCCCUGGGGCGUCCGACAUCCGCCAGUUCCGGCCGAUCACGGUCAUUAAUGUGAUCUUUCGGAUCUUGGCCAAAGGGUACGCCAAUAGGGUGACCCUGCUGGCUGACCGGAUUACACAUCCUAACCAGUCGGCCUUCAUUAGAGGAUGA
rnacentral:rRNA from 1 species